UACGUAGGCAGCGAGCGUUGUUCGGAGUUACUGGGCGUAAAGGGUGUGUAGGCGGUUGUUUAAGUUUGGUGUGAAAUCUCCCGGCUCUACUGGGAGGGUGCGCCGAAUACUGAAUGACUUCGAGUGCGGGAGAGGAGAGUGGAAUUCCUGGUGUAGCGGUGAAAUGCGUAGAUAUCGGGAGGAACACCAGCGGCGAAGGCGGCACUCUGGGCUGGAACUGACGCUGAGGAGCGAAAGCGUGGGUAGCAAACAGG
rnacentral:rRNA from 1 species